rnacentral:rRNA from 1 species
UCGAGAAUUUUCCGCAAUGCGCGAAAGCGUGACGGAGCGACGCCGCGUGCAGGAAGACGCUUUUCGGAGUGUAAACUGCUUUUAUCAGGGAAAAACUAGCGAUGGUACCUGAUGAAUAAGAGGUUGCUAACUGCGUGCCAGCAGCAGCGGUAAUACGUGGACCUCGAGCGUUAUCCGGAUUUAUUGGGCGUAAAGCGUUAAACGGUGGUUUAGAAAGUUGGACAUAAAAGCCCAGAGCUCAACUCUGGAUCUAUGUCCAAAACUCCUAAGCUAGAGGAUGGAAGAGGCAAGCGGAAUGGCUAGUGUAGCAGUAAAAUGCGUUAAUAUUAGCUAGAACACCAUAUGCGAAAGCGGCUUGCUGGGACAUUCCUGACACUAAAUAACGAAAGCGUGGGUAGCG